AUUGAACGCUGGCGGCAGGCCUAACACAUGCAAGUCGAGCGGAUGAAGGGAGCUUGCUCCUGGAUUCAGCGGCGGACGGGUGAGUAAUGCCUAGGAAUCUGCCUGGUAGUGGGGGUUAACGUCCGGAAACGGGCGCUAAUACCGCAUACGUCCGGAGGGGGAAAGGGGGGGAUCUUCGGACCUCACGCUAUCAGAUGAGCCUAGGUCGGAUUAGCUAGUUGGUGGGGUAAAGGCCUACCAAGGCGACGAUCCGUAACUGGUCUGAGAGGAUGAUCAGUCACACUGGAACUGAGACACGGUCCAGACUCCUACGGGAGGCAGCAGUGGGGAAUAUUGGACAAUGGGCGAAAGCCUGAUCCAGCCAUGCCGCGUGUGUGAAGAAGGUCUUCGGAUUGUAAAGCACUUUAAGUUGGGAGGAAGGGCAGUAAGUUAAUACCUUGCUGUUUUGACGUUACCAACAGAAUAAGCACCGGCUAACUUCGUG
rnacentral:rRNA from 1 species